UUUCUCCUCCAUGUAGUCUGGAAAGACAUGAGAUGACCGCUCCCUGUGGAUAACGAUGUACCAUUUGAUGAGAGUGGUGAUGUGAUAUGAUUGUAGGGGUCACCUUUAACGAAGUACGGUCAUGAUCAUAGUUUACAUGUAGGACCAUUGUGAUUGGCAUGGCCGUGGUCAUAGAUCGUGUCAUUGUUUGGCAAGCUGUAAAUGUGUUAGUUUGGCAAGCCGCAAAUCUCUAAUAUAAUAUGAAAUAAAUUAGUCAUUCCACAUGGGUAGUAAGGAAUCCAUAUUGCCCUUAGUGGAUGG
rnacentral:lncRNA from 1 species